AUACGUAGGGGGCGAGCGUUGUCCGGAAUGAUUGGGCGUAAAGGGCGCGUAGGCGGCCGCUUAAGUCUGGAGUGAAAGUCCUGUUUUCAAGAUGGGAAUUGCUUUGGAUACUGUCGGGCUUGAGUGCAGGAGAGGUAAGUGGAAUUCCCAGUGUAGCGGUGAAAUGCGUAGAGAUUGGGAGGAACACCAGUGGCGAAGGCGACUUACUGGACUGUAACUGACGCUGAGGCGCGAAAGUGUGGGGAGCAAACAGGAUUAGAUACCCUGGUAGUCCACACUGUAAACGAUGAAUGCUAGGUGUAGGGGGUAUCGACCCCUUCUGUGCCGCAGUCAACACAAUAAGCAUUCCGCCUGGGGAGUACGGCCGCAAGGUUGAAACUCAAAUGAAUUGGCGGGG
rnacentral:rRNA from 1 species